rnacentral:misc_RNA from 1 species
UAUGAGUGUUUGGAGAAAGCAAUAUCCAUUGGUAUAUGUUAUAUUUGUGCUCUUGCUCUUUUCUGUGCAUUUGUUUUUAUGUAUGAGCAUUUGUUCUCUUGGUUGCACUUUUUAAAGCAUGAGGGACAGCUGCAUGUCAAGGGAAUUGCCUUAACUAUGAUUUUCUGAAAGAGACUCAGAAAUGUAUCUUGGUUAUUCUGCUUUUGCUUAAUUUUUUCAGCAAUAUUAUGGAUUGUUAGCAACAAUCUCCAGUGUCAAAAUGUCUCUGUAAGAUGGGAUGUUCACUGGGCUCUUCCUUUAUUGAUGAUUUAUGAGAAAAUAUCUUGACUUCAUCUUUUUUUCCUGUUUGAUGUUGAGUUAGUGAAACCUGGAGUUCGAUUUCGUGAAAUCGGAGAAGUUAUUAACCGUCAUGCUACAAUGUCAGGUUUAUCGGUGGUAAUGUACCUGAGGCAAAAAUUUGUGCACUUUGUGUAAGCUUGUUGGCUGUGUUGAUUGUUGUUUUGUUGAAACAGGUGAAGUCAUAUUGCGGUCAUGGUAUAGGGGAGCUCUUCCAUUGUGCACCAAAUAUUCCCCAUUAUGGAAGGAG